CCUACGGGAGGCAGCAGUGAGGAAUAUUGGUCAAUGGACGAGAGUCUGAACCAGCCAAGCAGCGUGAAGGAUGACUGCCCUAUGGGUUGUAAACUUCUUUUAUAAAGGAAUAAAACGAGGCACGUGUGCCUUUUUGCAUGUACUUUAUGAAAAAGGAUCGGCUAACUUCGUGCCAGCCGCCGCGGUAAUACGGAGGAUCCGAGCGUUAUCCGGAUUUAUUGGGUUUAAAGGGAGCGUAGAUGGGUUGUUAAGUCAGUUGUGAAAGUUUGCGGCUCAACCGUAAAAUUGCAAUUGAUACUGGCAGUCUUGAGUACAGUUGAGGUGGGCGGAAUUCGUGGUGUAGCGGUGAAAUGCUUAGAUAUCACGAAGAACCCCGAUUGCGAAGGCAGCUUACUAAACUGUGACUGACAUUGAUGCUCGAAAGUGUGGGUAUCAAACAGGAUUAGAUACCCCUGUAGUC
rnacentral:rRNA from 1 species